GACGAACGCUGGCGGCGUGCUUAACACAUGCAAGUCGAACGAUGAAGCCGGAGCUUGCUCUGGUGAAUUAGUGGCGAACGGGUGAGUAACACGUGAGUAACCUGCCCUUGACUCUGGGAUAACUGCGGGAAACUGUAACUAAUACCGGAUACGACCCUCGGAGGCAUCUCCUGGGGGUGGAAAGAAUUUCGGUCAAGGAUGGACUCGCGGCCUAUCAGCUAGUUGGUGAGGUAAAGGCUCACCAAGGCGACGACGGGUAGCCGGCCUGAGAGGGUGACCGGCCACACUGGGACUGAGACACGGCCCAGACUCCUACGGGAGGCAGCAGUGGGGAAUAUUGCACAAUGGGCGCAAGCCUGAUGCAGCAACGCCGCGUGAGGGAUGACGGCCUUCGGGUUGUAAACCUCUUUUAGCAGGGAAGAAGCGAAAGUGACGGUGCCUGCAGAAAAAGCACCGGCUAACUACGUGCCAGCCGCCGCGGUAA
rnacentral:rRNA from 1 species